UGCUGCUCUCUCACCAAGGAGACCAGCAUUCUGAGGAGAAGGAUGGGUGGCACUUCCCUCCCUGACUCUGCCUGGGGCUCUGCCCUGCUCUGUUGGGUUGCUGUCUUUCUCCUGGGAACAAGUGCAGCAAGUACUGGGGUUGUCCAGUCUCCAAGACACAUAAUCAAAGAAAAGGGAGGAGGGACCAUUCUGAAAUGUAUUCCCAUCUCUGGACAUGAUAAUGUGCUCUGGUACCAACAGACUCAGGGGCAGGAACUGAAGUUCCUCAUUCAGCAUUAUGAAAAAAUGGAGAGAGAGAAAGGCAGCAUCCCCAACCGAUUCUCAGUGCAGCAGUUCAGUGACUAUCACUCUGAGAUGAACAUGAGUGCCUUGGAGCUGGAGGACUCUGCUGUGUACUUCUGUGCCAGCUCACCACAGCCAUGCAGGGUUACGGGCUUUCUGUACUUAAUCUUUCUGUUCCAGAUGGUGAUGUGCUAGAGAGGGUUGGAAGCUAAGGUCACAUAUCCUUAGCCUAGGUUCAGAAAUCUUCUAGCUUUUUACC